CUUGAAGGGAGAAAAGAAACGUCAUCAAAUAGGCAUCUUCACUCCAACACUUGCUAAAGGCAGCAGAUAUUUAAUAUGUAUCAUGAAUCAACAACGGAGAGUCUGGGAUGUAAGACAUGGCAUUUCUCAAACCUGGCUGAGCCCACAUCACCUUCUUUGACUCGAGUGAUAUUCAGAUACAACAAAAAACAUGAAUUUGAGAAAAAGGACUUCAGCCAUCACAGGAUCAGG
rnacentral:lncRNA from 1 species